UAAUACGUACCGUCCAAACGUUAUUCGGAAUUACUGGGCUUAAAGGGUACGUAGGCGGCGCUGUCAGUCGGGUGUGAAAGCCCUCGGCUCAACCGAGGAAUUGCGCCCGAUACUGCAGUGCUUGAGGGAGACAGAGGUAAGCGGAACUGAUGGUGGAGCGGUGAAAUGCGUUGAUAUCAUCAGGAACACCGGUGGCGAAAGCGGCUUACUGGGUCUCUUCUGACGCUGAGGUACGAAAGCUAGGGGAGCGAAGGGGAUUAGAUACCCCCGUAGUCCU
rnacentral:rRNA from 1 species